GACGAACGCUGGCGGCGUGCUUAACACAUGCAAGUCGAACGGAAAGGCCCUGCUUUUGUGGGGUGCUCGAGUGGCGAACGGGUGAGUAACACGUGAGUAACCUGCCCUUGACUUUGGGAUAACUUCAGGAAACUGGGGCUAAUACCGGAUAGGAGCUCCUGCUGCAUGGUGGGGGUUGGAAAGUUUCGGCGGUUGGGGAUGGAUGCGCGGCUUAUCAGCUUGUUGGUGGGGUAGUGGCUUACCAAGGCUUUGACGGGUAGCCGGCCUGUGAGGGUGACCGGCGACAUUGGGACUGAGGGACGGACCAGACUCCUACGGGAGGCAGCAGUGGGGAAUAUUGCACAAUGGGCGGAAGCCGGAUGCAGAAACGCCGCGUGCGGGAUGACGGCCUUCGGGUUGUAAACCGCUUUCGCCUGUGACGAAGCGUGAGUGACGGUAAUGGGUAAAGAAGCACCGGCUAACUACGUG
rnacentral:rRNA from 1 species